rnacentral:rRNA from 1 species
GACGAACGCUGGCGGCGUGCUUAACACAUGCAAGUCGAACGGAAAGGCCUCUUUCGGGGGGUACUCGAGUGGCGAACGGGUGAGUAACACGUGAGUAACCUGCCCUUGACUUUGGGAUAACUUCAGGAAACUGGGGCUAAUACCGGAUAGGAGCUCCUGCUGCAUGGUGGGGGUUGGAAAGUUUCGGCGGUUGGGGAUGGACUCGCGGCUUAUCAGCUUGUUGGUGGGGUAGUGGCUUACCAAGGCUUUGACGGGUAGCCGGCCUGAGAGGGUGACCGGCCACAUUGGGACUGAGAGACGGCCCAGACACCUACGGGAGGCAGAAGUGGGGAAUAUUGCACAAGGGGUGGAAGCCUGAUGCAGCAACGCCGUGUGCGGGAUGACGGCCUUCGGGUUGGAAACCGCUUUCGCUCAUGACGAAGCUUUGUGUGACGGUAGUGGGUAAAGAAGCACCGGCUAACUACGUG